ACUGGAUAAAACAGCAGCUGGAAACUCUCUCAGAAGCAGGGACAGAAAGUGAUUCUCUGAAGAAUCCAUAUAUAGAAAGGAAAGAAGGAUUCUGGACUCUGUUGCCCAUAGAAAACUGAAGUUGUGAGGAAAUGAAAGUAUGGAUAUCAUUACAGGUUGGCUGAUUUCUAGGUUUCCAUUUUAUUCAUCUUCAUUUGUUUGCUCAGAGGACAAAACAUUAAGAAAUGGAGAAAAAGAUCAACAGGUUAUACUUCAGCCACUGAAGUGAUAUCCUGACACCGGUGAAGUGGCAAGACUCCCAUUAAUUCCAAUAGGGCCAGGAUUCCAGCCUCGAUAUCUGUUCUGAGAGUGCUGCUGUGCCUGUUUUCAUUUUAUAACAACUUCAUAGCUCAACUGUUAAAAAACAAGAUCUUAGAAAACUCAGAUUGUCAUUGGUUAAAAAAAAAACAAAAACAAAAACAACAAAAAAAAAAGUGUGUCUAUUUAUGGUCAUUAUAUGCCACCCUUAUUCUCACUCGUGAACACUUAUUUUCAUGUGUAAUUCUGCUGACUUCAAGGGGGGCAUACUUGGGCCAGAUUCUGUUCCAACUAUUAGGCACAUAUGAGUGGACUUAGAUGCCUAAAUUCAACCCUAUUCCAUCAAAUCUGCAUCCCUGAAAAACGGUUAAUAUACAAAAGGUGCUUUUGUCUUCUUCCUCCUUGCUGGACUUUUAUUUUUUGAGACUCAGUCUUCAGAGUAAGAUGAUGAUAUAUUACAAAAGUAGAUGCAUUCAUGGAUUUUCAGAGACUUGAACAGACUAGAAUAGAAUCGCAUUUAGACCCUAUAACAGGUCACCCUCCCCAGCGCCAUCUUCCCUGUUAUCCGCGCCUUACAUGAGGCAGUCUUGAAGUCCCCUUUAAGGUUCUUGUGUCCUGCUCUCUACUCACCUGCCAUGUCUUGAUGGAAACUAUUAUACUGAUGUUCUAGUAAGGGGGAGACUGCCCAUUGUAUUGUGUGUUGGGUCUUCCGCCUCCACGGACCUUGACCCCUGUCUUUCUCUAGCUAGUCCUCCCUGUCUAAACCCACCAAACAAGGUUUGACCCUGAGGUACUAGCCUUUUCUCCCUUAUCUUGAGGCUCGUGGCCCUCAUUUCUGCUCCAAUCUAAAUCCUGGCCUACAGGCCCAGCCACCGGCCCCACAGCCAGGAGGUCGCAAGCCCAAAGCCGGGUAAUGGCCUUGAACUCACGCUGUCCCAGUCCAAAAUCAUGGUUUCCAUGAAAAUUGCAGUAGGGCCCUAAUCAUAAUACCUUGCCCUGUUCCUGGGUAUAUACUCUCCAAUGACCCUGCUCAUUUUACCUUCAGUCUCUAAAAUUGCAAUCCCUUCUUGAUAGGGACAUCUCUUACAAUGCCUAGCACAAUGUAGCUCUAAUUUCAGUUGGAGCUUCUAGACUAUAUUAUUUCAGAACUAAUAACUAAUUGUUAAUCCUCCCUAGCACUGUUUACAUAUUUUUUUCAUAUUAAUUUGGAUCAAUAUGAAAAACAUUGUUGUACUCUUUGGGUUUCUCUUUGCAGGCCUGUGCCUUAAUAAUUUGAAACAGAAAUUGCCUGCAUACUUCUUAGUUGCAAAUGGCAUCUGUUCCCUAUGAACUUUCAGAUCCUCACGCAUGACAUUUGCUAUGCUUGGGUAAUUUUCUUUGAGAUACAUACUAACUAGAGAGUGAGCUCUUAGUCUGAAAUGUUUGUGACUGAAGAUCUUAUCUUCAACACCAAACUAUAAAUUAAACAGAGCAAUAUAAACAAAUUAGUGGCAAGUGACAAUAUUCUCCAGGGUAACAGGCUGGCAUAACUUAGACACACUGCCUGGACAUUAACAUUUUCUACUGGAAAUGUCUAUCUAAGCUGCAGGGUCAAAACCCUAUACUGAAUGGUCAAAAGCAUCAGGCCAAUACAUCCAAGUGCAAGAAAUAGCAUAACUAAAGGUGGGCAAGCAGUGGAGAGGGUGCCAGUAUGGUCUCUUCCCACAGAAAUCUUUACCAUGGUAGGGCUAGCUGUAAGAGCUAGAAUUUGCCACAGGAGGCACAGCCCUGACUUUGCAGGAAGGAUUGGAGCAAACGAAGCACCAGAAGUAGUCCCCAGGGAUCUGUGCUGCUUCCUGUCCUCCAGUGGUAGCAGCCCAAUGUAUGCUUUUGUAGCAGUUGUUGACUGGAGAAGGGCAUGUCAAUGGAUUAAUUUUAUAAAUAGAAUGAGGCCCAUAAUAAGCAGCACAACUUCUCCUGCAAAGGAGUGGCUGAAUGGAAUGUAUCUUUUGCAUACUGUUGGUCCAACCUGACUUGCUCUGGGCUUUCCAGAGCAGGCUAGAGGCCUGGCUUGGUUUGUUAGUUAAAUAAAUUGAUUGACACCGAAAGUUAUAAACAAAUGGGUUAUUAUUAAACAAAAGGGAAAUAACAACAGGGGAGAAAUAAGACAAAGAAGAUAAUACAAUAACAAUAAUAGACAAAGAUGUGAGAUCACAGCAGUAAUCCUUCAGAGACAAAGGCUGCUUUCUAUUGCCAGGCAGUAUUGUGCUGCCUUAUUUCCAGGCGAUAAUUCUCACUCACACCCACUUUCUUCCAAACAAUCUCACGCAAUGAUGACUCUCCACAAAACUCAUGACUCUCAAACCCAAAACCCACACACAAGUUCCGACCAAACACCAACAGACUCGCACUCUAGGGCUCUGGUCAACAGCCUUUAUAUAGUCCAGUCACCCCCUCUUUAUCAACCAACCAGUGUCCAAUCUGUGUUGUUAAUCAACCUGUUGAUACAUUUCUCACUCUUCAUCCAAUCAUACUCUGAAUCACCUCAGGCAUGCAGCUAAUAUCCACACAUCAAUCAUUCUACUCUUUUCCUCCAAAAUCCCAAAUAUAUUGCGCAUGCUCAAUUUUGAUAAUUGGAGCAAAAGUUGGAAAGGUCUGGCCUUCUAGAACCAUCCAACCAUGCUGUGCAUGCCUUAAGCAAGUAAACUAAGGUAUGCUUGAAUGGUAUUCAGGAACAACAAAUAUGCAAAGUAACUAAACUUUGUUACACAGUAGCAGCUGCUGCUGGAGUGAAAAGAGCUGGGCACAUAAGACACUUCUCCAUCAACUAACUUGAGUCCCCUCUUCUCCUUCCGCCAACUUCCCCUCUCCACUAGUCAGCAUCAUACCCCCUCACCUCCACCUCUGCCCCAGGGUGAAAGAGUUCACUAUGUUAAUGAGCAUGAGAUAAGGUUACAUGCAUUCCAUUUUUUUCCAGAACAUUCAGAAGACUGAGUUUAUAUUAGCACCAUUAUUCCAAGAUUUGCUAAGACAACUAAACUAAACAAUGUGCUCAUGCAAUAUGCAAAAUAAUCUGGAAACUACCUGUUCUAACAUUAUCAAGACUCUAUGGAUACUGUUCAUGGGCUUUGAUCCAUAAACCUUAUAGCUGUCUGUGAUUUAUUCAGAGUUGGGUGAAAGUGUAGCCAUACACAGAAUUAUGGGAGUGCAGUUAUAUCACCAAAAUUUAAACUGCUCGUAUCAUACACAUAUCAUAAAUAUGAUCAUUUGUUUCCCAUAAGACAAGGAAACAAAAGCUUUGAUCCUCUUUGUAGUAACCUAGGACAUCUUUACACGUGCUCCUGGGUGGGGGGUUUUAAUUAGAGGGGCUCUUGGGAGCUGUUCUAAUUUGAGCACCUGCAGCAUCUCAUGUACUUGGGGUCCUGCACUUCAAAAUGGCAGUGGAGGUACUUUAACUAAAGCUCGUUCAAUGAGUUUUAGUUAAAGUCCCCUCACUGCCAUUUUGAAAUGUGGGGACACUGAGUACACAUGACACUGAGGCUGCUGGAGGGUUCUAAUUAGAAUGCUCCAAAAGAAUCAAUUAAUCAAAAUAAUCUGCUUGAUUGAGAAGACUCGAUUAAUUGAGUCUGCUCUGGUGCAUUCUAAUUAGAACACACUGGAGCAGGUGUCAGGCACGUGUGUAGGUGCUCUUAGUUGCUGAUACCUUAGAAUUUAAUUGCUGACGUACCUUAUACAAAAAUUUCUUAGCCUAUGUGAGAAGAGGCAGCAAUGUGCAAUGUGAAUUACUUUGUCAAAGGUCAGAAUGGCCUUAGGGUCUUUGUUGGGAGCUGAAAGAAAAAAAAAAAAAAAAAAAAAAAAAAAAAUGUAGAAUUUGAAGGAGCUAGACCACUUCACUUCUUUUUCCUCACAUGAUUUCUGUAAAAUAACUGGAAGUGAAAGAAGAAAAUUGUAGAAAUAAACAAGGAUUUUAAGGAUAAAUGUUAAAGCCACAGUAUUUUAUGUAGCCAAACUUUGGAUAGUAUACACAGAAAAGCAGUACCUGUUUUGGUAUUUUAAAAAAGUCCAAAAGAACAACACCAAAAUUUCUUGAAGGGACAGGAUUUGUAAAAACUAGCCUAACUAAAAUGCUUGUUUAUGGGAGGCUUUUUUUUGUUUCUAUUAUAAAAUGCCUAUUAGUAUUUAAACAUACUUUUAUGCUGUAACCCUUUAAUGAAGUGCCUCUGUUUAUCUGGGAGCUUAGAUUAUACAGUUAGGCUGAGAUUUUCAAAGCAGAUGAAAAGUUAAUUCAAACUGCACUGCCAGGUCCUUGAGGUCACUUGGGGAAUCCCAUACUGAAAAGACAUGCCUGACAAGAUCUGUCUGAGGUUCCUCAAACUGUUUUCAUAUUUAGAAGAUCUUAAUAUUAAACUAGUUCAGGUUCUCCAGAAAUAGUGUGUAAAUGUUACUGUUUGUGAAGUCAUUGUUCAGGGUCCUCGUGGUGGAUCACAAACCUAUUAAGUCAACUGUCCUAGAUGAGCUGCAGCUCUGCUGAGGACAACAUGUAGGCACCCAAAGGCACAUGGGUUUGAAAUUACACAUUGUCCUACUGAAUAUGAACUUGCAUCCCAGAAAGGAAACUGCAUUAAAUCCACUGAAGAGAAACAGACUUGCCGAGGUGGAGCUGCCUUCAUCAAUACUGCUUUGCUGCAAACUACUAAAUGCAUUAUAAGAAAGGAACACUUUCAUACAACCAUUCUUCAAUUUUCAGAGACUAUGAUGACCUAUUUCUUUAAGGAACAAGGAAAUUGUUUGUGCUAAAGAGAUAACAGUACAAAAAGUUUUCCUUAUAUCUUCUGCAUCUCUCCACAAUUUUCUCCUCUCAUCCUGCUUUAACUUUUUUCUGUCUUCAUUUUCUCUGGCCUUCGGUCCUAUCAUUUUGGGGGGAUAGUUUAAAUGAACAUGUUUGAUUUCUGCGAAAGUUUUCCUAAAAUCCCCAUUUUUUUUGUACAGCUUAUAGAAGGGUGUAGAAAAAAGGCGCACAAAGGGAAAAUUUAUUGAGCUGAGCUCUGCUCAUACCUCAUUGCAGAAAUUAAUUAUAAAGCCUUAGGCAGCUUGUUAUGGCAGAAGCACUGCCAGAUUUUAUAAUGUUAAAUGAAGCUUACUCAUUAAGCCCACAUAGGAAGUUAAUUCUACUUCAUUUUA